AGAGACGCUGGCGGCGUGGAUUAGGCAUGCAAGUCGAACGGUUAUCAUCCUUUCGGGGGUGAGAGAGUGGCGAACUGGUGAGUAACACGUAGGUUAUCUACCCUCAAGACGGGGACAACCCAGGGAAACUUGGGCUAAUACCGGAUGUGAGCAACUUUUAGUUGUUUGAAAGGUGGCGUAAGCUGUCGCUUGGGGAUGAGCCUGCGUCCUAUUAGUUAGUUGGUGAGGUAACGGCUCACCUAGGCAAUGAUAGGUAGGCGGCCUUAACGGGUGGUCGCCCACACUGGGAUUGAGAUACGGCCCAGACUCCUACGGGAGGCAGCAGUCGAGAAUAGUCUACAAUGGUCGGAAGACUGAUAGUGCGACGCCGCGUGAACGAUGAAUCCCUUCGGGGUGUAAAGUUCUUUUAUAUGUGAGCAGUGCUUCUUAUAUUUAACAGUAUGGGGAGAGAGAUAUUAGCAUAUGAAUAAGCAACGGCUAACUCCGUG
rnacentral:rRNA from 1 species